rnacentral:tRNA from 1 species
AAUUUAGUAGUUUAACAAAAACAUUGAUUUUGUAAAUCAAAUUUAGAAAUAAGAGUCUUUAAAUUA